GACGAACGCUGGCGGCGUGCCUAAUACAUGCAAGUCGAGCGGACCACUUCGGUGGUCAGCGGCGGACGGGUGAGUAACACGUGGGCAACCUGCCUGUAAGACUGGGAUAACACCGGGAAACCAGUGCUAAUACCGGAUAAUCCUUUCCUUCACAUGAAGGGAAUCUGAAAGACGGUUUCGGCUGUCACUUACAGAUGGGCCCGCGGCGCAUUAGCUAGUUGGUGAGGUAACGGCUCACCAAGGCAACGAUGCGUAGCCGACCUGAGAGGGUGAUCGGCCACACUGGGACUGAGAAACGGCACAGACUCCUACGGGAGGCAGCAGUAGGGAAUCUUCCGCAAUGGACGAAAGUCUGACGGAGCAACGCCGCGUGAGCGAUGAAGGCCUUCGGGUCGUAAAGCUCUGUUGUCAGGGAAGAACAAGUACCGGAGUAACUGCCGGUACCUUGACGGUACCUGACCAGAAAGCCACGGCUAACUACGUGCCAGCAGCCGCAGUAAAAC
rnacentral:rRNA from 1 species